UACGUAGGGUGCAAGCGUUGUCCGGAAUUAUUGGGCGUAAAGAGCUCGUAGGCGGUUUGUCGCGUCUGCUGUGAAAAUCCAGGGCUUAACCCUGGACCUGCAGUGGGUACGGGCAGACUAGAGUGCGGUAGGGGAGAUCGGAAUUCCUGGUGUAGCGGUGAAAUGCGCAGAUAUCAGGAGGAACACCGGUGGCGAAGGCGGAUCUCUGGGCCGUAACUGACGCUGAGGAGCGAAAGCUAGGGGAGCGAAUGGG
rnacentral:rRNA from 1 species